rnacentral:rRNA from 1 species
GUUAUAUGGUCAAGCGAAUAAGCGCACACGGUGGAUGCCUUGGCGGUCAGAGGCGAUGAAGGACGUGGCAGCCUGCGAAAAGUAUCGGGGAGCUGGCAACAAGCUUUGAUCCGGUAAUGUCCGAAUGGGGAAACCCACCCGCUUGCGGGUAUCCUGCAGUGAAUACAUAGCUGCUGGAAGCGAACCUGGUGAACUGAAAUAUCUAAGUAACCAGAGGAAAAGAAAUCAACCGAGAUUCCGUAAGUAGCGACGAGCGAACGCGGACUAGCCCUUAAGCUGAUUUGGUUCUAGGAAAACGCUCUGGAAAGAGCGGCCAUAGAAGGUGAUAGCCCUGUAUCUGAAAGGGCCAUUUCAGUGAAGACGAGUAGGGCGGGGCACGUGAAACCCUGUCUGAACAUGGGGGGACCAUCCUCCAAGGCUAAAUACUACUGACCGACCGAUAGUGAACCAGUACCGUGAGGGAAAGGCGAAAAGAACCCCGGAGAGGGGAGUGAAAUAGAACCUGAAACCGUGUGCGUACAAGCAGUAGGAGCUCCGCAAGGAGUGACUGCGUACCUUUUGUAUAAUGGGUCAGCGACUUACUGUUCGUGGCAAGCUUAACCGUAUAGGGGAGGCGAAGGGAAACCGAGUCUGAUAAGGGCGCAUAGUCGCGGGCAGUAGACCCGAAACCGGUGAUCUAGUCAUGCCCAGGGUGAAGGUGCGGUAACACGCACUGGAGGCCCGAACCCCCACUCCCUGCAAAGGUAGGGGAUGAGGUGUGAUUAGGAGUGAAAAAAGCUAAUCGAACCCGGAGAUAGCUGGUUCUCCUCGAAAGCUAUUUAGGUAGCGCCUCAUAUGUAUCCUCUCGGGGGGUAGAGCACUGUUAUGGCUAGGGGUCAUCGCGACUUACCAAACCAUUGCAAACUCCGAAUACCGAGACGGACUGUAUGGGGAGACACACGGCGGGUGCUAACGUCCGUCGUGAAAAGGAAACAACCCAGACCCACAGCUAAGGUCCCAAAUUUUGUGCUAAGUGGAAAACCAUGUGGAAAGGCACAGACAGCCAGGAGGUUGGCUUAGAAGCAGCCACCCUUUAAAAAAAGCGUAAUAGCUCACUGGUCGAGUCGGUCUGCGGGGGAAGAUUUAACGGGCUAAGCACAGAACCGAAGCUUGGGGUGCAUAACUUUGUUAUGCGCGGUAGAGGAGCGUUCCGUAAGCCGUUGAAGGUGGAUUGAGAAGUCUGCUGGAGGUAUCGGAAGUGCGAAUGCUGACAUGAGUAACGAUAAUGCGGGUGAAAAAACCCGCACGCCGAAAGCAAGGUUUCCUUGCGCAACGUUAAUCGGCGCAGGGUGAGUCGGCCCCCUAAGGCGAGGACGAAAGUCGUAGUCGAUGGGAAGCAGGUUAAUAUUCCUGCACCUCGCGCGUAAGUGCGAUGGAGGACGGAGAAGGUUAGGUGUACCAGGCGUUGGUUGUCCUGGGGAAAGGCGGUAGGUUUGGAUCUUUGGCAAAUCCGGAUCCUCUAAGACCGAGCACCCGAGACGAGCCUUUAUGGCGAAGUCACUGAUACCACGCUUCCAGGAAAAGCUCCUAAGCUUCAGCUUACGCAGACCAUACCGUAAACCGACACAGGUGGGUAGGAUGAGAAUUCUCAGGCGCUUGAGAGAACUCGGGUGAAGGAACUAGGCAACAUGGCACCGUAACUUCGGGAGAAGGUGCACCCUUUUGGUGGCUCGUGCGAGCUAUAGCUGAAGAAGGGGUCGCAGUAACCAGGCCGCUGCGACUGUUUAUCAAAAAAAACACAGCACUCUGCAAACACGAAAGUGGACGUAUAGGGUGUGACGCCUGCCCGGUGCUGGAAGGUUAAUUGAUGGGGUCAGCCGCAAGGCGAAGCUCUUGAUCGAAGCCCCAGUAAACGGCGGCCGUAACUAUAACGGUCCUAAGGUAGCGAAAUUCCUUGUCGGGUAAGUUCCGACCUGCACGAAUGGCGUAACGACAGCGGCGCUGUCUCCACCCGAGACUCAGUGAAAUUGAAAUCGCUGUGAAGAUGCAGCGUUCCCGUGGCAAGACGGAAAGACCCGUGAACCUUUACUAUAGCUUUACACUGAACGUUGAGUUCGUCUGUGUAGGAUAGGUGGGAGGCUAUGAAACUGUGGCGCUAGCUGCAGCGGAGCCAUCCUUGAAAUACCACCCUGUCGUGCUUGACGUUCUAACCUGGGCCCAUUAUCUGGGUCGGGGACCGUGUAUGGUGGGUAGUUUGACUUGGGCGGUCUCCUCCUAAAAAGAGUAACGGAGGAGCUCGAAGGUACGCUCAGCGCGGUCGGACAUCGCGCACUGUGUGCAAAGGCAUAAGCGUGCUUGACUGCAAGAUCGACGGAUCAAGCAGGUAGGAAACUAGGACUUAGUGAUCCGGUGGUUCUGUAUGGAAGGGCCAUCGCUCAACGGAUAAAAGGUACUCCGGGGAUAACAGGCUGAUACCGCCCAAGAGUUCAUAUCGACGGCGGUGUUUGGCACCUCGAUGUCGGCUCAUCACAUCCUGGGGCUGUAGUCGGUCCCAAGGGUAUGGCUGUUCGCCAUUUAAAGUGGUACGCGAGCUGGGUUCAGAACGUCGUGAGACAGUUCGGUCCCUAUCUGCCAUGGGCGUUGGAGAUUUGAGAGGGGCUGCUCCUAGUACGAGAGGACCGGAGUGGACGAACCUCUGGUGUUCCGGUUGUCACGCCAGUGGCAUUGCCGGGUAGCUAUGUUCGGAAGCGAUAACCGCUGAAAGCAUCUAAGCGGGAAGCGCGCCUCAAGAUGAGAUCUCCCGGGGCACAAGCCCCCUGAAGGAACCAUGUAGACUACGUGGUUGAUAGGUCAGGUGUGUAAGUACAGCAAUGUAUUGAGCUAACUGAUACUAAUGAUCCGAGAGGCUUGACCAUAUAACCU